CACUUGCAGAACAUGAAGUUUGUCAACACGGACAAAGCGGUUUCUGUAACGACUUCAUACAAUGUCCGACUGGACAUACGUGUAUGUUCAGGAAGAACGGGGGUAUAGGAAAGUGCUGCACAAACGGAAAAGAUGCCGGAUCGGGAAUUGCAAGCAUCAUUGGGGCAGUUACCGGCGAACGUACAUCCGACACAAACAA